rnacentral:rRNA from 1 species
UACGGGGGGGGCAAGCGUUGUUCGGAAUUACUGGGCGUAAAGGGCUCGUAGGCGGCCAACUAAGUCAGACGUGAAAUCCCCAGGCUCAACCUGGGAACUGCGUCUGAUACUGGAUGGCUUGAAUCCGGGAGAGGGAUGCAGAAUUCCAGGUGUAGCGGUGAAAUGCGUAGAUAUCUGGAGGAAUACCGGUGGCGAAGGCGGCAUCCUGGACCGACAUUGACGCUGAACGGCGAAAGCUAGGGGAGCAAACGGG